rnacentral:rRNA from 1 species
GAUGAACGCUGGCGGCGUGCCUAAUACAUGCAAGUCGAGCGAACAGACGAGGAGCUUGCUCCUCUGACGUUAGCGGCGGACGGGUGAGUAACACGUGGAUAACCUACCUAUAAGACUGGGAUAACUUCGGGAAACCGGAGCUAUACCGGAUAAUAUAUUGAACCGCAUGGUUCAAUAGUGAAAGACGGUUUUGCUGUCACUUAUAGAUGGAUCCGCGCCGCAUUAGCUAGUUGGUAAGGUAACGGCUUACCAAGGCAACGAUGCGUAGCCGACCUGAGAGGGUGAUCGGCCACACUGGAACUGAGACACGGUCCAGACUCCUACGGGAGGCAGCAGUAGGGAAUCUUCCGCAAUGGGCGAAAGCCUGACGGAGCAACGCCGCGUGAGUGAUGAAGGUCUUCGGAUCGUAAAACUCUGUUAUUAGGGAAGAACAAAUGUGUAAGUAACUAUGCACGUCUUGACGGUACCAAAUCAGAAAGCCACGGCUAACUACGU